rnacentral:rRNA from 1 species
ACGAACGCUGGCGGCGUGCUUAACACAUGCAAGUCGAACGGAAAGGCCCCUUUGGGGGUACUCGAGUGGCGAACGGGUGAGUAACACGUGAGUAACCUGCCCUUGACUUCGGGAUAACUUCAGGAAACUGGGGCUAAUACCGGAUAGGAAUCCUUGCUGCAUGGUGGGGGUUGGAAAGCUUCGGCGGUUUUGGAUGGACUCGCGGCUUAUCAGCUUGUUGGUGGGGUAGUGGCUUACCAAGGCUUUGACGGGUAGCCGGCCUGAGAGGGCGACCGGCCACAUUGGGACUGAGAUACGGCCCAGACUCCUACGGGAGGCAGAAGUGGGGAAUAUUGCACAAUGGGCGGAAGCCUGAUGCAGCAACGCCGCGUGCGGGAUGACGGCCUUCGGGUUGUAAACCGCUUUCAGCAGGGGCGAAGCUUGUGGUGACGGUACCUGCAGAAGAAGCACCGGCUAACUACGUG